rnacentral:antisense_RNA from 1 species
AGCGCGCGGGAGUCGGGAUUGUGCUUGCACGACUUCCCCCGGCCCGCGGCCUGUGGGCCCAGGUCCUGGGGUGAACCGAGCGCUCGCUCGUUCGUCAGACCGUAGCGCUCCAGCGGCUGCCCUUACUGUGUAGUAGCCAAAGCUGAGGGUGAUGACUGUGAACCAGAACAGACUGCCUCGCUGAAAAGUCACUUGGAACUCUUCUGUGGCAUCUGAAGCAGAUGGACGAAGCCAAGAGGGCCGAGAGUAUCUCAGCACCUAGAAAUGGACAAGGCUGGUUAUUAGAAAAAAGAUUUUGCAGGUGGUGAGUCUCAAAGGCGAAGCUGAAUGAGGCAAGAAUCUGCAUCAAAGAGCCCUGGAAGCAAUCAUGGCUCAGCUGUGAUGCCUUUAGAACAUGAAGUCCUCCAAGAAGAUGCCAUAGGAAUGGCCUCCAUCCCAGGGCCUGGAGAGCAGCCAGAGACAAGGAGAGUAGCCCAGGAGGGCACUGGCAGUCAGUGCUACACUGUGGCCUGUCAGUCUCAGAGCCAGGAUUUAAACACUGGAUCUCCCAUUAACCAGUCAUAAUGAAGUAAGAACAAGAAGAUGGGGAAGAGGAAGUGUAAAACUGUGGCAUAAAUUUACCAAGGAUAAGCUGAGUGUACUUCAGCAGUCAUUUGCACAGAAUCCUUAUCCUAAUUUUACAACCAGGGAAAAACUGGCUGGACAGUCUCUUGUCCUGUGUUUGUAAUUGAUAACUGGUUUCAAAAUAAAAGCCAGACCACCACUUAGAGAGAGACACAGAAUGUUCACUGCCAGGGAACUGCAUGAUUCCUCUGCCAAAGGCCACCCAUUUACAAGAAUCCAGGAAAACCAGGUGGAAUCUCCCAAUGAUGACCCUGAGCAGAACUUCUUGUACCCAGGAAGUUCUACUGGGUGGAACUGGCCACUCUUCCGCGGAGACACAGGGGACUCCCAAUUAACAUGAUGGCUCAAAUAACUGUAGCCUUAUGGAUUAAAAGGAAACUAAGCUGUGAUUUGGAGUAUCCAGGUGAUACAGAAAAUGGCCCUUGUCGAUGUAGAUCAGCAUUAUUUCCUUAUCCUUCUGCAUCUCCUCCUCAGUAUUCUGAAAGGGACAAGCCUGAGAUGGGGGAAAGCCAGCAUGCAAGGCCCUCCCCUUUGUGCUGUGUUCAUGGUGUGCAGGGAGAGAGGCAGCAGCAGGAGGAACAGAAAGGUUAUUUUCUUUACUGACUCUUUCAAGGACAUCAGCAGAAUGGUUGGGAAUGUCAUCAUGAGCAGCCUCAGCCUCAGAAUUACCAGGAGAAGCUGGUCUUCCAGGAUCAGGUUCUAAUGUAUAUGAGUCACAGGAUUUAGGGAAGCAGGCACUUUCCCUUCAGUCCCAGCAGCAUGGUUGAUGUUCCCAAGUAAUGGAGAGUCCCUAUGCUCUCAGUUGUGGCACACACCUUUGCAAAUAGUGAUCAGAUCUCCACAAACGCCUCUUGGGUAAGAUAUGCAGCAACAUAGCUGGCUGCAGAGCAACCCAGGUCCCAAAUCCAGCAGCUCUGGGAUGAGAAGUCUGCAAGUGUUUACUGCUGGGACCAGGACUGUGUUUCUAGGAAAUGGUGCUAGGCUUCAGAGAGCAUCAUCCACAGGUCAUCCCACAACCAUCCACACAGAAGCCUGAGGAAAAGGGCUCUGCAGAGCUUGCACAUAAAGAUGCUGAACUCAGGAAGGCUCUGUGAGCUGCUGGUCUCUUCUGGUAGGGCAGCAGUGUCCUGAGAAGGUGGAGCUAGAGUAUGGAGAACAAAACUAACAAGCACCAAGGCAGCAAGCAAGGCAACCCCCAAAUGACAGCAGUUGCCAAAUCCAAAGCAAUCUGUGCUUCAGAAGACAGAGGCUCUGCACAGUCCCUGUCUCAGACAUUGUCUCCUCCUUAGAAGAUACCUAACAGCAGCACUGUGGGAGGCUGAGGUGGGUGGAUCACCAGGUCAGGAGAUCAAGACCAUCCUUGAUCUUUAGUAGAGACGGUGAAACAAUGUCUCUACUAAAAAAUACAAAAAAAAAUUAGCUAGCCGUGGCGGCGGGCACCUGUAGUCCCAACUAUUUGGGAGGCUGAGGCAGAAGAAUGGCCUGAACCCGGGAGGCAGAGCUUGCAGUGAGCUGAGAUUGCGCCACUGCACUCCAGCCUGGGCAACAGAGUGAGACUCCAUUUC